AUGGGAAAAGAGGGGGGGUGGCAUUUUAGGGAGGACGGGGCUUUUGUGGCAGAAACAAGGCUCCACGGAGCUUUAGCGUGGAUUUGGGGACCUGGUGCUCAGAGGCUCCUUCCCUGGGGCCACCAAGUCCGGGAGCCUCUGGUCCAGCCUGGGUCUGCCUCGUGCUGGUGUGAGCGGGGCUGUGCGCGGUGGGUGUCCCUGGGGAGGCUGGAGAUGGCUCCUGGGGGUCAGCAGGCAACCUCUCAGCUCCACGUUUUCUCAAAAAUACCACCUGCAAUAACUGCUGACUUGACUGGUGGGAUUUGGAAGAGGAGGAGAGGUGAGGUCUAAUGGUUCAUGGAUUUUCUUUUUCCGUAUUAAACGUGAAGACCGUAUUGAGCCUGUUUUUAAAGGAGCUAUUGUACAAAUAAUUUUUUUCUAUGUCCCACGUAGCCUUAUAGCAUAUGUAAAUAAGGGUCACACAGUAAAUAUAUUGUGCUAUAAAAAUAUUUUGUACAACAUAAUUUCUGAAGUAAUAAAAGUUAUUCUGUCUGUUGUGUAUUGUAUGGUGCAAUUAGUAUUUUCUAACAAUGGAAGGAUUUCUCAAAGGGACUUAAAAGACUGUCAGCAAAAGGAAACAGGUCUGUUAGGAAGAAAAAUCAAUGAGAUCCUGUGUCCCUUCUGUCCCUUCUGCAACUGCCUCACCCCUGUGCAAGCUCCGGACAUUUGGGUAAGGGAGAGCCAUGGGCACUGCAGAGCCCGGUGUGCAGGGGGACGCUGGUAAGGAGUGGACUGGUGAGGAGAGCUGCGUGUUUGUCACCUGCUGAAACGGUUCUGUUUGGUGAAAGAGACAAAUCGACACCUUCCGCUCCCUCCUUUGAGUCCUCCUGUAUAGAAGUCGGUUUAUUUUUCGCAGCCAAGAGGUUUUGCAUUCAAAGACAAAAAUGGGANNNNNNNNNNCUCGUGGGACUGGAUGGGGAUUUAGGGGGGCACCGGUGCCUCCAGUGUGUGGUGGCGAGCGCGCUAGUGCUGGGCAAGGCGCGGUGCUGCAGGGGUGCCGAUAACAAGGGCACUUGUUGAGCUCUGCGCCUUUGACUCCUGUUGACAUCUCCAGAACCCCUUGGGUUAGCGUGGCAGCAGGAGGAGGGCUCGGCUGGGGUUUCCAUUCAGGCAGGACCCGGGUGCUGCUGGCAGAGCUCAGAGGGGGCCCUGCUGCUGUCCCACGUGGGCUGGGGGAAUCUCCUGCCCCAGGGGCUGCUCAGCCUGAUGGGGUGGGGGGAGGCUGUCGGCUGCUGGGAGCUGAGAGCAGCCAAAUCCCUGCUGGAAACAGGCCAGGCUUUUAGGCACGAGCUCGAUGAGCACCUGGGGCGGCUUCCCAGGGUGGGAGCAAGAUCCCUGCUCACCUGGAUGCUCUGGCCCCACGCAGCAGCACUGGGUGAGGGUGCAGGGGGGAGAGGAUGGCAAACGCAGGAGUGCUUCUGCCCUGGGCAUCCCCGUGAAGUGCCGGAGCCUGCAGCUGCCCCGCUCAGCACAGGCUGCAUUAUUUUCUGUUACCUGUUCUUCAGCCUCUUUUCUAAGCACUGUCUGGUUUAACGACUCACACCUUGCAUAAAGCCGGUGCCGCGCUGACCUCCUACCAUUCGCUUUUCCAGGCACGAUGACCGAGCAGCAAAGUUCCCCCGAGCAGAUGGCGAC
rnacentral:lncRNA from 1 species